rnacentral:rRNA from 1 species
GAUGAACGCUGGCGGCGUGCCUAAUACAUGCAAGUCGAGCGAACAGACGAGGAGCUUGCUCCUUUGACGUUAGCGGCGGACGGGUGAGUAACACGUAGGUAACCUACCUAUAAGACUGGGAUAACUUCGGGAAACCGGAGCUAAUACCGGAUAAUAUUUCGAACCGCAUGGUUCGAUAGUGAAAGAUAGCUUUGCUAUCACUUAUAGAUGGACCUGCGCCGUAUUAGCUAGUUGGUAAGGUAACGGCUUACCAAGGCAACGAUACGUAGCCGACCUGAGAGGGUGAUCGGCCACACUGGAACUGAGACACGGUCCAGACUCCUACGGGAGGCAGCAGUAGGGAAUCUUCCGCAAUGGGCGAAAGCCUGACGGAGCAACGCCGCGUGAGUGAUGAAGGUCUUCGGGUCGUAAAACUCUGUUAUUAGGGAAGAACAAACGUGUAAGUAACUGUGCACGUCUUGACGGUACCUAAUCAGAAAGCCACGGCUAACUACGUG